UACGUAGGGCGCAAGCGUUGUCCGGAAUUAUUGGGCGUAAAGAGCUCGUAGGUGGUUUGUCGCGUCUGUCGUGAAAGCCCAUGGCUUAACUGUGGGUCUGCGGUGGAUACGGGGCAGGCUAGAGGCAGGUAGGGGAGAACGGAAUUCCCGGUGUAGCGGUGAAAUGCGUAGAUAUCGAGAGGAACACCUGCGGCGAAGGCGGCCAUCUGGACGACGACUGACGCUGAGACGCGAAAGCGUGGGUAGCAAACAGG
rnacentral:rRNA from 1 species